AAUCAUAAGAAUUUAAUUUUGGUUCCGAUUGAACGUUGUUCAGUAGUUUAAGACAUGCAAAUCAUUGUUUCUGACAAUAAAUUAUAUUAUUAAUAAUUAUAUAAAAUAUUAUAAAGAAAUAAGGUGUAAAGGUGAGAAAAAUAAAUAAGUUACUUUAUAAUUUCCAUAGAUAGGAAAUAAAUUUAAUUAUUAAUAAUUAAAAUAAGUUAAAUAUAAAAAUUUAAUUUAUAUUAAAGGAAAUUUUCUGUUAUAAAAUACUAUUUAUCUUGAUUAGGUAGUUGGUAGAGUAAAAGCCUACCAAGCCGACGAUCAAUAGCUAUGUUUGAGAGAACAGAUGGCCACAUUGGGAAUGAAAUCUCCCAAGUAGUUUAAUACUACCAGCAGUCGAGAAUAUUAGUCAAUGCUCGAAAGAGUGAACUAGCUAACUGAAAUCAAUUAUAAUAAUUGAUAACAUAAGGGAAAAUAAUGAUAUUACCUUAUUAUUAGUGUCGUCCAAAUCUGGUGCCAGAAGACUCGGUAAGGCCAGAGACACAAACGUUAAUCGUCUUAAUCAGGCGUAAAGGGUUUGUAGGCGGCUUUUAAACUUACUUUUUAAUUUAAUUAAUAUUUUAUAUUUUAAUUUAAUAAGUAAAAAAAUAAAAGCUAGAAUCAAAUAGAGGAUAAAUUAAAUAAUGCUUAGAGUAGGUCUGAUAUCCUUAGAUACUAAGUAGAAUAUUAAAGGCGAAAGCUUUUUUUCCAUUAAUGAUUGACGCUCAGAAACGAAGGUGAGGAUAGGAAAUAGGAUUAGAUACCCAAAAUACCCCUCUCUGUCAACGAUGAAUGGUAGUUAUUAAUAAUAAAUUAUUAAUGGCAAUGUUAACACGAUAACCAUUCCGCCUUGUGAGUACGACUGCAAAGUUGAAAACAAAAAAAUUAGUCGGUUUCGGAGCAAACGAAGUGAAGCAUGUUAUUUAAUACGAUAAUCCGCGUAAAACCUUACCAGUUCUUGAAUAAAAACUUUAUUUUUUUAUAUAUUUUAAAAUUAUAAAGGAAUGUUUUAACUUUAAAUAAAAUUUAAAGAAUAUAUUAGAACAUUUAAUACAGGUGUUGCAUGGCUGUCUUCAGUCCGUAUCGUGAGAACUGAGGUUAAUUCCGCUAACGGACGAAAUCCCUAUUGUUAAUUAAAAAUAUUAUAAUUUAUAUAUAUUUUAUAUUAUAUACUUAACAAUUAAUGAUUCUUAUAGAGUUUCAUUUGGGGCUAAGACAAGUCGUUAUGGCCCUUAUGAACUGGGCUAUAGACGUGCCACAAAAACUUUUACAAAGUGAUGCUAUACUUUUUCCUAAAAGGAAUUAAAUAUUUAUUUUAUUAUUCAGGUUAAUAUUUUUAUUUUUGUUUUAAUAAAAUAUAUAAUCGAAAGAUUUAUAAUUCAUUAUUUUUAAAUUUUAUAGUAAAAUUUAAAUUUGGAAAGUAGGAGGAGCUAAUCAUUAAAAAAAGUUAAAAUAUAAAUUUAGACGGAUUGUUCUCUGCAAUUCGGGAACAUGAAGAAGGAAUUUCGAGUAAUCGUUGAUAAUUAGCGCAACGGUGAAACUAGCAUCCGUGAUGAACUAACUGUCUGUCGCUGGGAAGAAGCUUAUAAUGAUGGAAAUGGGAAUAUAAUUAGAAAUUUUUUCAUUAUUAAUAUUAAUUUAUAUUUUAUAUAUUUUAAUAUAGUUUAUUAUAUUAUUAUUAUAUUUUAAACGACUAUGUUAAAACUAAUUAGUUUUUAUUAAUUCAUUUGAGUAACAUCUCAAAAGUCAUAGCAAGGUAGCCGUACUGGAAAGUGCUGCUGGAAAAUAAAUUCA
rnacentral:rRNA from 1 species